CCAGAAAGCCACGGCUAACUACGUGCCAGCAGCCGCGGUAAUACGUAGGUGGCAAGCGUUGUCCGGAAUUAUUGGGCGUAAAGGGCUCGCAGGCGGUUUCUUAAGUCUGAUGUGAAAGCCCCCGGCUCAACCGGGGAGGGUCAUUGGAAACUGGGAAACUUGAGUGCAGAAGAGGAGAGUGGAAUUCCACGUGUAGCGGUGAAAUGCGUANAGAUGUGGAGGAACACCAGUGGCGAAGGCGACUCUCUGGUCUGUAACUGACGCUGAGGAGCGAAAGCGUGGGGAGCGAACAGGAUUAGAUACCCUGGUAGUCCACGCCGUAAACGAUGAGUGCUAAGUGUUAGGGGGUUUCCGCCCCUUAGUGCUGCAGCUAACGCAUUAAGCACUCCGCCUGGGGAGUACGGUCGCAAGACUGAAACUCAAAGGAAUU
rnacentral:rRNA from 1 species